AUUGAACGCUAGCGGGAUGCUUUACACAUGCAAGUCGAACGAGUGGCGGACGGGUGAGUAAUAUAUGGGAACGUGCCCAGUAGCGGGGGAUAACUACUCGAAACAGUAGCUAAUACCGCAUACUAUUAGAUCUGCCCAUAUCGGAUUAGCUAGUUGGUGGGGUAAAGGCUCACCAAGGCGACGAUCCGUAGCUGGUUUGAGAGGACGACCAGCCACACGGGGAAUGAGACACGGCCCAGACUCCUACGGGAGGCAGCAGUGGGGAAUUUUGGACAAUGGGGGAAACCCUGAUCCAGCCAUCCCGGGUGUAUGAGAAGGCCUUCGGGUUGUAAAGUACUUUUGGGAGAGAAGCGGUAUCUGCAGAAUAAGCACCGGCUAACUACGUUCCAGCCGCCGCGGUAAUUC
rnacentral:rRNA from 1 species